rnacentral:rRNA from 1 species
CCUACGGGAGGCAGCAGUGGGGAAUCUUCCGCAAUGGGCGAAAGCCUGACGGAGCAACGCCGCGUGAUCGAAUGAAGGCCUUCGGGUUGUAAACAUCUGUUGACAGGGACGAAUAAGCAAUGCGAAUAGUUUUGUGUAUGACGGUUCUUGUUUAGGAAGGGCCGGCUAACUACGUGCCAGCAGCCGAGGUAAUACGGAGGGAGCAAGCGUUGGCCGGAAUUACUGGGCGUAAAGGGUGCGUAGGUGGGUGCUUAAGUCAGGUGUGAAAGCUCCGGGCUCAACCGGGAGACUGCACUUGAAACUGGGUGUCUUGAGUGCAGGAGAGGAAAGUGGAAUUCCUGGUGUAGCGGUGAAAUGCGUAGAUAUUAGGAGGAACACCAGUGGCGAAGGCGACUUUCUGGACUGUACCUGACGCUGAGGCGCGAAAGCGUGGGUAGCGAACGGGAUUAGAUACCCUUGUAGUC